CCUACGGGUGGCAGCAGUAGGGAAUAUUGCGCAAUGGGGGAAACCCUGACGCAGCAACGCCGCGUGAUGGAUGAAGGUUUUAGGAUUGUAAAGUCCUGUUAGUAGAGAAGAUUAUGACGGUAUCUAACGAAGAAGCACCGGCUAACUCCGUUCCAGCAACCGCGGUAAUACGGAGGGUGCAAGCGUUACUCGGAAUCACUGGGCGUAAAGAGUGCGUAGGCGGGGUAAUAAGUCAGGUGUGAAAUCCUGUAGCUUAACUACAGAUCUGCAUUUGAAACUGUUAAGCUGGAGUGUGGGAGAGGUAAAUGGAAUUCCUGGUGUAGGGGUAAAAUGCGUAGAUAUCAAGAGGAAUA
rnacentral:rRNA from 1 species